AAGAAUUUUGAUAGGACUGGGGUUAACGGUGCGGUUGCUAAACUUAUUAAAGUGAAGGAUGGCUUCACAAUGACUGCCUUAGAGGUUGGCCUUGCAUGAUGCCAUAUACUUGGUUUAUUUUAGAAAUGGAUGCUGCAGGAGAAAAUUGUUUAAUAUUAUAGUAGACACAGAAAAUACUGGAAAGCAACUUCUUCAAAAUGGUGAUCUCCGAAGAAGAGUUACACAGUUAUCCAUCUAAACCAAAUUCAAUCCCAAAAUGCUUCUGUUAGAUUGGUUGGCAAGGGGAAUGCAGAAGUGGCACUGUCUUUGGUUGGAUAUGAUCAGGAACUGAAGCGUGCUAUGGAAUAUGUAUUUGGUUCAACAUUUGUUUGCAAAACUAUUGAUGCAACGAGGGAGGGGUGGUGGUGAUCUGUUAAGGCAACUUCAUGCUUUGGCAGAGGUUGAAUCCAAA